rnacentral:rRNA from 1 species
CUACGGGUGGCUCCAGUGAGGAAUAUUGCACAAUGGGGGAAACCCUGAUGCAGCAACGCCGCGUGGAGGAUGACGCAUUUCGGUGUGUAAACUCCUUUUAUCAGAGAAGAAAAUGACGGUAUCUGAUGAAUAAGCUCCGGCUAACUCCGUGCCAGCAGCCGCGGUAAUACGGAGGGAGCAAGCGUUAUUCGGAAUCACUGGGCGUAAAGGACGCGUAGGCGGGUUUUUAAGUCAGGUGUGAAAUCCUAUGGCUCAACCAUAGAACUGCACUUGAAACUGGGGACCUAGAGUAUGGAAGGGGCAGGUGGAAUUAGUGGUGUAGGGGUAAAAUCCGUAGAUAUCACUAGGAAUACCGAAAGCGAAGGCGACCUGCUGGGACAUUACUGACGCUGAGGCGUGAAAGCGUGGGUAGCAAACAGGAUUAGAUACCCGGGUAGUC